rnacentral:rRNA from 1 species
AUUGAACGCUGGCGGCAGGCUUAACACAUGCAAGUCGAGCGGAGAUGAGGUGCUUGCACCUUAUCUUAGCGGCGGACGGGUGAGUAAUGCUUAGGAAUCUGCCUAUUAGUGGGGGACAACAUUCCGAAAGGAAUGCUAAUACCGCAUACGUCCUACGGGAGAAAGCAGGGGGUCUUCGGACCUUGCGCUAAUAGAUGAGCCUAAGUCGGAUUAGCUAGUUGGUGGGGUAAAGGCCUACCAAGGCGACGAUCUGUAGCGGGUCUGAGAGGAUGAUCCGCCACACUGGGACCGAGACACGGCCCAGGCUCCUACGGGAGGCAGCAGUGGGGAAUAUUGGACAAUGGGGGGAACCCUGAUCCAGCCAUGCCGCGUGUGUGAAGAAGGCCUUAUGGUUGUAAAGCACUUUAAGCGAGGAGGAGGCUACUGAGACUAAUACUCUUGGAUAGUGGACGUUACUCGCAGAAUAAGCACCGGCUAACUCUGUGCCAGCCGCCGCCGUAAAAC